AUACGUAGGUGACAAGCGUUAUCCGGAUUUACUGGGCGUAAAGGGCGUGUAGGCGGUCUUGCAAGUCAGAAGUGAAAUUCCUGAGCUCAACUCGGGCGCUGCUUCUGAAACUGCAGGACUUGAGUGCUGGAGGGGAUAGCGGAAUUCCUAGUGGAGCGGUAAAAUGCGCAGAUAUUAGGAAGAACACCGGUGGCGAAGGCGGCUAUCUGGACAGUAACUGACGCUGAGGCGCGAAAGCGUGGGGAGCAAACAGGAUUAGAUACCCUGGUAGUUCACGCCGUAAACGAUGAAUACUAGGUGUAGGGGGUAUCGACUCCCUCUGUGCCGCAGUUAACACAAUAAGUAUUCCGCCUGGGGAGUACGGCCGCAAGGUUGAAACUCAAAUGAAUUGGCGGGG
rnacentral:rRNA from 1 species